GCGUUUACAUCGGUGUCCGUGUAGAUAGCUUUGACAAAUCUCACUUGGAAUCCUUCGGAUAUUUCCAAUAGUAACAUUGUUAUUGAGGUGGCAAAGAAAUGAACUGAUUAAACAAAACACAAAAUUUAGUUCAUGGUAGACAAGACACUGUAGAUAACGAAAGUCUGACAAGAAGCUUGCGGUGAUUUUUGUUUAUGGCCUGACAUAACAGAAUGUACGCAUAAUGGUAUGAGAUAAAGGAAAUAGAGGAUAAUGUGUCAUUACAAUUCAAGUGCAAGGUUGCUAUGAGUGAUUAUGGUAUACAGUAUGGGGGGACAAUGUGCUCUAAAUAAGUUUCGGGCCAGCGGUCAUGGAUUCAAGAAGUGAGGUACGUGUCCGAGGCAGGACAAAUUCAUCAAACAGUAUGACAGAAGAGAACGCACCUUUUUUACCCACAAUGCCUUUACCGAGCCCGGACAUGGUCGUCUAUGGCUCAGAACCCAAGCCG